rnacentral:rRNA from 1 species
GAUGAACGCUGGCGGCGUGCCUAAUACAUGCAAGUCGAGCGAACAGACGAGGAGCUUGCUCCUCUGACGUUAGCGGCGGACGGGUGAGUAACACGUGGAUAACCUACCUAUAAGACUGGGAUAACUUCGGGAAACCGGAGCUAAUACCGGAUAAUAUAUUGAACCGCAUGGUUCAAUAGUGAAAGACGGUUUUGCUGUCACUUAUAGAUGGAUCCGCGCCGCAUUAGCUAGUUGGUAAGGUAACGGCUUACCAAGGCGCCGAUGCGUAGCCGACCUGAGAGGGUGAUCGGCCACACUGGAACUGAGACACGGUCCAGACUCCUACGGGAGGCAGCAGUAGGGAAUCUUCCGCAAUGGGCGAAAGCCUGAUGGAGCAGCGCCGCGUGAGUGAUGAAGGUCUUCGGAUCGUAAAACUCUGUUAUUAGGGAAGAACAAAUGUGUAAGUAACUAUGCACGUCUUGACGGUACCUAAUCAGAAAGCCACGGCUAACUACGUG